CCUACGGGAGGCAGCAGUGGGGAAUAUUGCACAAUGGGGGGAACCCUGAUGCAGCAAUGCCGCGUGGGUGAAGAAGCACUUCGGUGUGUAAAGCUCUGUCAGCAGGGAAGAAAAUGACAGUACCCUGACAAGAAGCCCCGGCUAACUACGGGCCAGCAGCCGCGGUAAUACGUAGGGGGCAAGCGUUAUCCGGAUUUACUGGGGGUAAAGGGAGCGCAGGCGGAGAGGCAAGUCAGAUGUGAAAACCCGGGGCCCAACCCUGGGAGUGCAUUUGAAACUGUCAAACUGGAGUACCGGAGAGGUAAGAGGAAUUCCUAGUGUAGCGGUGAAAUGCGUAGAUAUUAGGAGGAACACCAGUGGCGAAGGCGGCUUACUGGACUGUAACUGACGUUGAGGCUCGAAAGCGUGGGGAGCAAACAGGAUUAGAUACCCCAGUAGUC
rnacentral:rRNA from 1 species